CAUUAGAUGACUGAAAAGCAAGUACUGGUCUCUUAAACCAAUUUAUAGUAAAAUAGCGGCUACUUCUAAUGA
rnacentral:tRNA from 1 species